rnacentral:lncRNA from 1 species
AUAAGGUGAUGGCCAAUUAGGGUUCCCAUUAUUCCGAAAUGGGCCAUCCUGACAUCCACUCAUAUUGAGCCCAUAUCCAAUUAAUUAAUUAAUUCUAAAUAGAAAUCUAAUUAGCCUUUUACUUUAUUUGAUCAUUUAAUCAAUUAAGGCUCCUAAUUGAUAAAUAGCUAAUAUAAUUAUAUAUAAAGAUAUUUGCCCACAUAAUAUUAUUGGAAUAUUAUAAAAUAUUCCAACA